rnacentral:tRNA from 1 species
GGAGGUGUGCUCAGUGGUAUAGCACUUGCUUAGUAUACUUGAGAACUGGGUUCAAUCCUAGCACCACCA